GAUGAACGCUGGCGGCGUGCCUAAUACAUGCAAGUCGAGCGAACAGACGAGGAGCUUGCUCCUCUGACGUUAGCGGCGGACGGGUGAGUAACACGUGGAUAACCUACCUAUAAGACUGGGAUAACUUCGGGAAACCGGAGCUAAUACCGGAUAAUAUAUUGAACCGCAUGGUUCAAUAGUGAAAGACGGUUUUGCUGUCACUUAUAGAUGGAUCCGCGCCGCAUUAGCUAGUUGGUAAGGUAACGGCUUACCAAGGCAACGAUGCGUAGCCGACCUGAGAGGGUGGUCGUCCACACUGGAACUGCGACACGUUCCAGACUCCUACGGGAGGCAGCAGUAGGGAAUCUUCCGCAAUGGGCGAAAGCCUUACGGAGCAACGCCGCGUGAGUGAUGAAGGUCUUCGGAUCGUAAAACUCUGUUAUUAGGGAAGAACAAAUGUGUAAGUAACUAUGCACGUCUUGACGGUACCUAAUCAGAAAGCCACGGCUAACUACGUG
rnacentral:rRNA from 1 species